AUGUCUCCGGCUCAUUCUGCCCCUCCGCCCACUUUCUCCGACUGCCGCUGACGGAGUGAAAUAGAAGCUUGGUUUUGCCGUUUGCAACUGCUCAUCUGAUCAUCUCAAGUCUGGUGACCUGCUACAGAAGCUCUCUCCCUCUAUCAUUAACAAGCAAUUCAGUCUGUCCUAUCACUCUCCCCACUCUAUCUAUUUUGACAAGAC